GAUGAACGCUAGCGGCAGGCUUAACACAUGCAAGUCGAGGGGCAACACGGGUAGCAAUACCUGGUGGCGACCGGCGCAAGGGUGCGUAACGCGUGAGCAACAUGCCCUAUACAGGGGGAUAAUCCAGGGAAACUUGGUCUAAUAUCCCAUAGUAUUUAGAGGUGGCAUCACCACUAAAUUAAAGCUUCGGUGGUAUAGGAUUGGCUCGCGUGACAUUAGCUGGAUGGUGGGGUAACGGCUCACCAUGGCGAUGAUGUCUAGGGGUUCUGAGAGGAAGACCCCCCAACUGGGACUGAGACACGGCCCAGACUCCUACGGGAGGCAGCAGUGAGGAAUAUUGGACAAUGGAUGGAAAUCUGAUCCAGCCAUGCCGCGUGCAGGAAGACGGCCCUAUGGGUUGUAAACUGCUUUUAUAUGGGAGCAAUAAGGUUUACGCGUAGACCGAUGAGAGUACCAUAUGAAUAAGCAUCGGCUAACUCCGUG
rnacentral:rRNA from 1 species